ensembl:snRNA U6 U6 spliceosomal RNA
GUGCUAACUUCGGCAGCACAUAUACUAAAAUUGGAAUGGUAAGAGAAAAUUAGCAUGGCCCCUGUGCAAGGCUGACAUGAAAAUGUAUAAAGCAUUCCAUUUUUUA